rnacentral:rRNA from 1 species
UACGUAGGGGGCAAGCGUUGUCCGGAAUUAUUGGGCGUAAAGCGCGCGCAGGCGGUGCUUUAAGUUGGGGGUUAAAGGCAGUGGCUCAACCACUGUACGCCUCCAAAACUGGAGCGCUUGAGUGCAGGAGAGGAGAGUGGAAUUCCCGGUGUAGCGGUGGAAUGCGUAGAGAUCGGGAGGAACACCCGUGGCGAAGGCGACUCUCUGGCCUGUAACUGACGCUGAGGCGCGAAAGCGUGGGGAGCAAACAGG